UGGGCAAAGCGGGUAGUUUUCUUGGCCCCAUGAGUAAAGGAUAUAGGUUGUCUUAUGUGCUUUUACACAAUAAAAGUAUAACUGAUGCCUUGAUCUUAACUUUGUUAAACUGUGAUCUCGAACUCCUGACUUCAGCUCUCAGCAACCUGGCUUAGAGGCUUCACUAGGAAGGUGUGCCCUCCUCCAUCCCACCAUUCUACAGGAGUUUUCACACUGCUCUAGAGACACACCCAAGACUGAGUAAAUGGACUAAUACAGAACCUAAGAUUUUAUAUCAAGCAAAAACCUUUUCAAGUAUCUUUAUCAGCAUGGAAGAACUCAGAUAAUAUUGUUCCUUUGACUUCUUUUGAAGGAAUCUACUAAAGAAUAAGUUUCAGACAACUAAAUUUCUGCAAAUAUCAACAGAAGGACUGGUGAUGAGAAGUAUGUUGUUACUUGUAAAACCAACAUGAGUGAGGAUUUAAAAGAAGAGAUUGUAAAAUGUGAUACCUGUAUAAUCUGAUAAUUAUGACAAAGAAUGGAGAUAACAUAUAUAAACAACAUUUUAAGUGUUUUAAUAAUGAUAAUGUGGUAGUAUUAGUAUUGUUCUGAGAAUAUAGUAUGUGGAGUAAAGCAAAUGUAUAACUACGGGAUAUUUUAAUUAUCCCACAUAUCUUUGAGAAGUAGGAUUCUCAGUGUGGGGGAAAGAAGAUACAAAUGGAAUAUAGAAAUGGUUAAGUAAAAACCUUGUUUUUUCUCAAUCUGAAAAUAAAAAUCUUCUAUUAACUCGAGAUAUACA
rnacentral:lncRNA from 1 species